UACGGAGGGUGCGAGCGUUGUCCGGAAUCAUUGGGCGUAAGAGCUCGUAGGCGGUCUGUCGCGUCUGCUGUGAAAAUCCAGGGCUCAACCCUGGACCUGCAGUGGGUACGGGCAGACUAGAGUGCGGUAGGGGAGAUCGGAAUUCCUGGUGUAGCGGUGAAAUGCGCAGAAUAUCAGGAGGAACACCGGUGGCGAAGGCGGAUCUCUGGGCCGUAACUGACGCUGACGGAGCGAAGCAUGGGGAGCGAACAGG
rnacentral:rRNA from 1 species